rnacentral:rRNA from 1 species
UCGGGAAUUUUGGGCAAUGGGCGAAAGCCUGACCCAGCAACGCCGCGUGAAGGAUGAAGUAUUUCGGUAUGUAAACUUCGAAAGAAUAGGAAGAAUAAAUGACGGUACUAUUUAUAAGGUCCGGCUAACUACGUGCCAGCAGCCGCGGUAAUACGUAGGGACCAAGCGUUGUUCGGAUUUACUGGGCGUAAAGGGCGCGUAGGCGGCAAUUCAAGUCAUCUGUGAAAUCUCCGGGCUUAACUCGGAACGGUCAGAUGAUACUGCUUUGCUAGAGUGCAGAAGGGGCAAUCGGAAUUCUUGGUGUAGCGGUGAAAUGCGUAGAUAUCAAGAGGAACACCUGAGGUGAAGACGGGUUGCUGGGCUGACACUGACGCUGAGGCGCGAAAGCCAGGGGAGCAAACGGGAUUAGAUACCCACGUAGUCCCUGAGCGGGCUGGCAAGGC